GACGAACGCUGGCGGCGUGCUUAACACAUGCAAGUCGAACGGUAAGGCCCUUCGGGGUACACGAGUGGCGAACGGGUGAGUAACACGUGGGUGAUCUGCCCUGCACUUCGGGAUAAGCCUGGGAAACUGGGUCUAAUACCGGAUAGGACCACUGCCUGCAAGGGGGGUGGUGGAAAGCUUUUGCGGUGGGGGAUGGGCCCGCGGCCUAUCAGCUUGUUGGUGGGGUGAUGGCCUACCAAGGCGACGACGGGUAGCCGGCCUGAGAGGGUGACCGGCCACACUGGGACUGAGAUACGGCCCAGACUCCUACGGGAGGCAGCAGUGGGGAAUAUUGCACAAUGGGCGCAAGCCUGAUGCAGCGACGCCGCGUGAGGGAUGACGGCCUUCGGGUUGUAAACCUCUUUCAGCACCGACGAAGCGCAAGUGACGGUAGGUGCAGAAGAAGGACCGGCCAACUACGUGCCAGCAGCCGCCGCCG
rnacentral:rRNA from 1 species